CGGACGGGUGAGUAAUGUUUGGGAAACUGCCUGAUGGAGGGGGAUAACUACUGGAAACGGUAGCUAAUACCGCAUAACGUCGCAAGACCAAAGUGGGGGACCUUCGGGCCUCUUGCCAUCGGAUGUGCCCAGAUGGGAUUAGCUAGUAGGUGGGGUAACGGCUCACCUAGGCGACGAUCCCUAGCUGGUCUGAGAGGAUGGCCAGCCACACUGGAACUGAGACACGGUCCAG
rnacentral:rRNA from 1 species